rnacentral:rRNA from 1 species
UACGUAGGGUGCAAGCGUUGUUCGGAAUCAUUGGGCGUAAAGCGCGUGUAGGCGGUUAGUUAAGUCGAUUGUGAAAUCCCUGGGCUCAACCGAGGAAGUGCAGUCGAAACUAACUAGCUAGAGGACGGCAGAGGAAGGUGGAAUUCCAAGUGUAGAGGUGAAAUUCGUAGAUAUUUUGGAAGGAAUACCUGUGGCGAAGGCGGCCCACUGGGCCGGUACUGACGCUGAGGCGCGAAGGCGU